rnacentral:lncRNA from 1 species
UUUCAAACGACGCAAUGAACAACGCAUAAUUCCUUAUUAAACUUAGUAACAAUUUAAGGAAGCAAGCAAAAAGAAAAUAAAAUAAAGGUGAAAGAAGAAAAGAAAAGAACAAAAUAAGAAAAAGGAAAAAACAUUAAAAAACAUGGUUUUUAAAACAACAAAAACUAAUAGGCUUUUACCAAGCAGCAUAAAAUAUCUCAUUACCACAUUCGCAGAAAUUUGAACACAGAAC